rnacentral:tRNA from 1 species
GCCCGGGUGGCGGAAUUGGCAGACGCGCAGGACUCAGGAUCCUGUGGUGGCAACACCGUGCGGGUUCAAAUCCCGCCCCGGGCACCA